CUGCAGAUGUCAGGGAAAAAAGCACUAUUUGGAAAAGAAUGACAUGAACAAAGGAACCCCUGGUGCAU